GAUGAACGCUGGCGGCGUGCCUAACACAUGCAAGUCGAACGAAGCACUUUUUUACGAUCCCUUCGGGGUGACGAAUUUGUGACUGAGUGGCGGACGGGUGAGUAACGCGUGGGAAACCUGCCUUGUACCGGGGGAUAGCAGUUGGAAACGACUGAUAAUACCGAAUGUGACAGUUUUUCCGCAUGGGAUUACUGUGAAAGAUGGCCUCUAUUUAUAAGCUAUCGCUAAAGGAUGGGCCUGCGUCUGAUUAGCUAGUUGGUGGGGUAACGGCCUACCAAGGCGACGAUCAGUAGCCGGUCUGAGAGGAUGAACGGCCACAUUGGGACUGAGACACGGCCCAGACUCCUACGGGAGGCAGCAGUGGGGGAAUCUUCCGCAAUGGGCGAAAGCCUGACGGAGCAAUGCCGCGUGAGUGAUGAAGGAAUUCGUUCCGUAAAGCUCUUUUGUUUAUGACGAAUGUGCAGACUGUGAAUAUGGUUGUAAUGACGGUAGUAAACGAAUAA
rnacentral:rRNA from 1 species